CACCCGAUGGCACAAGGUGUGCGUCUGUGGAAUGUAUGAAAGGUGCCCGAAAAUUUAUGCAGAAGAGCCCCCGUUCGAUUCGGGGUCGGGUGG